rnacentral:rRNA from 1 species
AGGAGAGUUUGAUCCUGGCUCAGAACGAACGCUGGUGGCGUGUCUUAUACAUGCAAGUCGAGCGGUCCGCAAGGAUAGCGGCGAACGGGUGAGUAACGCGUAAGCAAUCUGCCCCGCAUAUUGGGAUAGCCGUGCCAACGCGCGGAUAAUACCGAAUAACGUGGCCCCGGACAUCCGGGGUUGACGAAAGAUUCAUCGAUGCGGGAUGAGCUUGCGUCCGAUUAGCUAGUUGGCGGGGCAACGGCCCACCAAGGCGACGAUCGGUAGCCGGCCUGAGAGGGUGAUCGGCCACAUUGGGACUGAGAUACGGCCCAGACUCCUACGGGAGGCAGCAGUAGGGAAUAUUGCACAAUGGGGGGAACCCUGAUGCAGCAACGCCACGUGUGGGAAGAAGCAUUUCGGUGUGUAAACCACUGUCGUGAGGGAAUAAUACGCGGUUUCGGCCGCGGGGGAAUGUACCUCGAAAGGAAGCACCGGCAAACUUCGUGCCAGCAGCCGCGGUAAUACGAGGGGUGCAAGCGUUGUUCGGAAUCACUGGGCGUAAAGGGAGCGUAGGCGGAGGAGCAAGCAAUCUGUACAAUACCGGGGCCCAACCCCGGACCUGCAGAUUGGACUGCUUCUCUUGGAUAGUUCAGGGGCAGGCGGAAUUCCUGGUGUAGCGGUGGAAUGCGUAGAGAUCAGGAAGAACACCGAUGGCGAAGGCAGCCUGCUGGGGACUUAUCGACGCUGAGGCUCGAAAGCGCGGGUAGCAAACAGGAUUAGAUACCCUGGUAGUCCCCU